GGAGCUGUGCCUGAAACAAAGGGCCACUUUGAUAGAGUGACUUACGGGGGUUAGAGUCCCCCCAGCUCCU
rnacentral:tRNA from 1 species